GACGAACGCUGGCGGCGUGCUUAACACAUGCAAGUCGAACGGAAAGGCCCUGCUUUUGUGGGGUGCUCGAGUGGCGAACGGGUGAGUAACACGUGAGUAACCUUCCCUUGACUUUGGGAUAACUUCAGGCAACUGGGGCUAAUACCGGAUAGGAGCUCCUGCUGCAUGGUGGGGGUUGGAAAGUUUCGGCGGUUGGGGAUGGACUCGCGGCUUAUCAGCUUGUUGGUGGGGUAGUGGCUUACCAAGGCUUUGACGGGUAGCCGGCCUGAGAGGGUGACCGGCCACAUUGGGACUGAGAUACGGCCCAGACUCCUACGGGAGGCAGCAGUGGGGAAUAUUGCACAAUGGGCGGAAGCCUGAUGCAGCAACGCCGCGUGCGGGAUGACGGCCUUCGGGUUGUAAACCGCUUUCGCCUGUGGCGAAGCGUGAGUGACGGUAAUGGGUAAAGAAGCACCGGCUAACUACGUG
rnacentral:rRNA from 1 species